rnacentral:rRNA from 1 species
GACGAACGCUGGCGGCGUGCUUAACACAUGCAAGUCGAACGAAGUGGCGAACGGGUGAGUAACGCGUAAUCAACCUGCCCUUCAACGGGGGCAAACAGUUGGAAACGACUGCUACUACCGCAUACUGAAGGCGGGGAUUUCGUCUGAUUAGCUAGUUGGGGGGGUAACGGCCCACCAAGGCGAUGAUAAGUAACCGGGCUGAGAGAAUGAACGGCAAAAUUGGGACUGAGACACGGCCCAGACUCCUACGGGAGGCAGCAGUGGGGAAUCUUCCGCAAUGGAAGAAAGUCUGACGGAGCAACGCCGCGUGAGUGAUGACGGCCUUCGGGUUGUAAAGCUCUGUUAAUCGGGACGCGGUACCGGAAUAGAAAGCCACGGCUAACUACGUGCCAGCAGCCGCGGUAAUAC